AUUCAGGAAGUAAACCAGUGGAUGAAAGACAUCUCUCUAGUCUCACAGGCAUAGAAAGCCAUGACACGGUGGCAAAAAACAAUUUAACUGAAAGAUCCUGGUGAACAAGACCCUAGCAGAAGGAUCAGGCCAUCAAGGAGAGAGGCGCCUUUCUCUGAAGGGAGGAAGGAACCUCCACUGUGAUACGGCCUUGACUAAACAAAUUCAGAGCCUAGACAGCUCAUAGCAAGAGUCUCGGGUGAUUGCUGACAUCAUAAAUAAGAGUGCCAAUUGUUAAAUCAACAAAGGGAGUCACUGGGUUCAUGCUCCCCAUGCAGGAUCUCUGUCCUUGAUGUGUUUAACUAUGAAACUCAAAAGCAACACUACUAGACGAACAAUACCCUAUACCUGGUUCGGUUGUGUGAGUGCAGCCUGUUGAAAUCCCUGCUUAGUAUAUACUAAGUUGAUCAUCAGUAUAUGAAGGCCGAAUAAAGUGUAAAGUUGGUUCCAAACUACAUCAUAGAAACAGGGAAGACUGGAACUUUGCUGAAGAAUGAAUGGAGAUGGCAAGAAGUUGGUCACCUCCACUAACACCAUCCCUGAGUAUCUGGAAAAUCUUAUUCCUAUCCAACUGUUAAUGUUCUCCUAAUUACAAUUUCACUUGCUUCCCUAGUUUGUGCUAUACUAUAUCAUUCAUUUGAACUUACUGUGAUUGAUCUAUGUCAACAUUAACUAUACUCACAAGGAAGUCAAUAAAUAAAGUUCAAUAGUU